rnacentral:ncRNA from 1 species
AUGAGAUCGUUUAGGUCCGUGUUGUUAUUUUAGCUAUAUUAAUGUGUUUACAUGUGAACAAAUGUGUGAGUUGGAUUGACUAAUUUAGUCCAGUGAUGUUCUCAGUGAGUUGUAUUGGUGUCAAAUGAAAGUUUUAGCCAGAUAAUUAGUGAAGAGUGGAAAAUAGCGUGCCAGCAGCCGCGGUUAUACGCGUACUUUGAGUUAAAAUUGUUGUACAAAAUUUUAUUUUAAUAUUGAGCGUGGGUUUGUUUUUAUUAUUAGGUAGAAUUUUAAUAUUAGAAUAUGAUCGUAUUGUUAAGGUAGGAUAAAGAUAUGUUGAACCAGGAUUAGAUACCCUGUUACUUAUUUUUAAUUGGUUUUGGAAUAGUAUUAUUUUUGAAAUUUAACGGAUUUGGCGGCAAGAUAGCCCAUUUAGAGGAACCUGCCCUAUAAACGAUGAGCCACGAAAAACCUUACUUUUAUUGGUAAUCAGUUUGUAUACCGCUGUUGUCAGUUAGUUUCUGUAGAAAACUUUCGGUAAUGAAAUAUUCAUUGACUUCAAGUAAAGGUGCAGCUUAUAUAAAAGGAAGAGGUGGGUUACAAUUAAGUGAAUAAAUAACGGAUAAUAAUAUGUAAAAAUUGUUUGAAGGUGGAUUUAAUUGUAAAAUUUAUAUUAUUUUGAUGUGAGCACUAUCUUGUGUACACACCGCCCGUCGCUCUCUUUUUUAAACGAGAUAAGUCGUAACAAGGUAAGUGUAAUGGAAAUUGUACUUG